CCUGGCUUCCUAGUAGAGGUUUGGCCUGACAAUAAACAACAGUUUAAUACUUUAUCUAAUCCAAGCCAGGAGGUGAAUUCAACAGCAAGCUUUUGCAGAUGUUCACAUCCAAUAAUCUAUCCAUAAUUGAUGAAACAGGGAGGUCAGAUGUAAUGGUUGCUACUAUUCCAGCAACAAAUAAAUGGUUAUUGACAAAACAAGUCAGUAUGGUGCUGAGUGCUGAGCAGCGACAAGUCUGAAAACUGUGCAGAGACAGAAGCGGGGACAAGGAUACAGUCCUUCAUCUCGAGGAUUUUUCACUACGAUGUGUAUCAUAAAGGCCACUAGGAAGCACACAAACAGAUGAAGGGGAGAUUCUUCAGAGAUGGUAAAGAAAACAUUAAGCUAAAAAUGAAUAAGAUGACUGAAGAUUUGAGGACUUCACAUUAAUGAUCCGGAAGAUGCCUUUCUAAAUAUGUUGUCCCAGUGAAAAGAACAGAAAUCUAAUGAAGACGUUGGAACAGUACCCUGGAAAAGCAUGGCUGGUUUGCUGGAACGCAGCAGGAACAUUCAACACUGCAACAUUUGCUCACAGCUCCCAUUCAUCAUUUCUACAGAUCAUGUAUUUAGACCAAGGAUGGCCAAGCCUGUAUUUGUGGUGACAGCCUCCAACAAAAACACGGUUAAUCUUCAAUGACAAUGUGCUAAAAGUAAUUAAAGAACGAAUUUUCUGCAAAAGGAUGUGUUGUGGUUUGCUGUUAAAACUCCAAAAUGAAUUUGAAAAUCCUUUAAAACAUGCAUUUUUGUUUUGAUUUUUUUUUUCAAAUUAGUUGCCAAAUUUUGGUGGCACAGUGGCCAAGAGGAUGGUUAUAAUCCAUAGUAGGGGUGAUGGUUGCCAGAAUUGUCAAAGCUGUCCACCUUUAACAUAAGGAGUUGAGGGAAAUCACAAUAUUAAUACUUAAAGGAAUAAACCACCGCCGCCACCAGCUAACAAUUAAACCAGAAUUAUUUAAGCUUUUUAAACUGCUUCUCUAGAUGACAGUUUUAAUGUCUGCAAUUGUGGUGCAAAUACCUAAUGCUACUAAAGGUAUGUUUAAACAAUAAAACUAAUCAAACAAGUAUUACAAAGAUAAUAAACCAUAUGGUGAAACCAUAUAGAAAACAUGCUUAGAUCAUGAGUGUAUAAAUCUAUGAUCCAGAAGCUAUAUGUGGUCCCAGGUUUUUCUGAAGUUGCAGGAAUCAUACAACACUCAUAUCAAAGCUAUUUGCAGGCUUUUGAAAUCAGUGUUUUCCCACUGCUUAUAGCUGUAGAUGGCCAGUAAUCACUGUGGAAACAACUGGGGGAUGAAGGAGACUUUCAUUUCCCCUCCCCUUCAGCAAUCCCUUGAUCUCAGCAAGAAUGCUAGGUUGGAAAAUUAAAAAUAUGACUUCUAUGUGUUGGGGAGAUGGAGCACUCUGUGUGUAUGUGUGUGUAUGCAUGUGCAUAAAUGUGAGUUGCACAAUUUAAUGUAGACCAUUUGCAGUUGUACUUAGGUAUUAACAGUCUUUCCCAGGUAUGGAAAUGUCCAGUUUAAUUUUCCAAGGGGUCUGUGUACUUCAGCAUAUCCUUUAAGGGAAGUUGGAACUGUCAGCCAAUGAAUUUAAAGCUAAAGUUGAGUUUGUUGACCGGUAGACCUGGCUGGAAUGACCCCAAUAUGUUUCACUCUGGUUAGGGGAGGGGCUAUGUUGCUGCUCAUCUGAUCUUCUGAGUGCUAUCCCAUCCACCAACUCUCUAUCAUACCUGUUUUCAUUUUGUGUUUAUAUAACACAUGACAUUUUUCAAAUAGCGUUUAUGUCACUUCUAUUUGUUAUAACUUUGGGGAAGGAUUGGCAUGAAUCCUGCAUCCAGAACAUAUAUGACUAGUGUCUCUUGGUAAUGCAUAGGGGCUCCCUAAUGGGAUUCGGGGGAGCAUGGGGCAGAAUUAGUCUUGCCUGAUCCUGGAUGAUAGAAAGACUAUGCUUAUGGCAUCUGCACAUUGGGAUCCUUUGCUGUCAUCCCAAGGGUUCUAGUAUUAGGGCGGAGGAUUCAGAUAAUUGAUCAACAGGUGGGUUGGUUCAUAAACAUAUGUGAACCAACUCUACCUGCAGCUAUAACCAAUAAAGUUGUGAUCUUCCUUUUCCCACUUACAUUGUGUAUUGGUGUGCUGUUUCACAUAGAGCAGAACUUGCCCCUGAACACACAAUUACAAUUCCUGCUCUCUGAUAAGAUGCCGUUGGGGUUAAAAUGGUUGUUUGCUUUGGCCCUGGAUUGCUAACUAGAAUACUUUAAUAUCUGCUGAAUUAUUAGAAAGGUGACAUUUAAAAUAUUAGUUUGUCUCCUAUGAAAAAAACUGAUGGGAGGAACUGAUGGAUGGAACAUUGCCUCAGCAGAUGUAAGAUUUGUCUAACAAUUCUGGCCAUGGAAAAACAUAGUUUGGUAUGAUGAAUAAGACUUUACUGGGCCUAAGCCUUUGAUAGGUGCCACCUACCCCUUAAAUAAGAACUAUAUUAUAUCUUUUAAAUAUCUUAGAGCACUUCCAAACAGGGCAUAGAGUUGUCCCCAUUUCAGUGCAGUAACUACCAUGCUGGAAUGGGGUCAUCCUCCCCAAAAAAAGUCUUAAAAGAAAAACUUGCCACGCCACCAUUAGU